UACGGAGGAUCCGAGCGUUAUCCGGAUUUAUUGGGUUUAAAGGGUGCGUAGGCGCCUUGUAAGUCAGGGGUGAAAGACGGUAGCUCAACUAUCGCAGUGCCUUUGAUACUGCAGGGCUUGAAUGUACUUGAGGUAGGCGGAAUGUGACAAGUAGCGGUGAAAUGCAUAGAUAUGUCACAGAACACCAAUUGCGAAGGCAGCUUACUAAAGUAUGAUUGACGCUGAGGCACGAAGCGUGGGGAUCAAACAGG
rnacentral:rRNA from 1 species